GUAUAGCAUUAUACGGCGAAACUGCGAAUGGCUCAUUAAAUCAGUUAUCGUUUAUUUGAUAGUACCUUUCCUACUUGGAUAACCGUGGUAAUUCUAGAGCUAAUACAUGCUAAAAAUCCCGACUUCGGAAGGGAUGUAUUUAUUAGAUACAGAACCAAUGCCCUCCGGGGCUCUCUGGUGAAUCAUGAUAACUCCGCGGAUCGCACGGCCUUGCGCCGGCGAUGGUUCAUUCAAAUUUCUGCCCUAUCAACUUUCGACGGCUGGGUCUUGGCCAGCCGUGGUGACAACGGGUAACGGAGGGUUAGGGCUCGACCCCGGAGAAGGAGCCUGAGAGACGGCUACUACAUCCAAGGAAGGCAGCAGGCGCGCAAAUUACCCAAUCCCGACUCGGGGAGGUAGUGACGAUAAAUACUGAUCCAGGGCUCUUUUGGGUCUUGGAAUUGGAAUGAGUACAAUUUAAAUCCCUUAACGAGGAACAAUUGGAGGGCAAGUCUGGUGCCAGCAGCCGCGGUAAUUCCAGCUCCAAUAGCGUAUAUUAAAGUUGUUGAGGUUAAAAAGCUCGUAGUUGAACCUUGGGCCUGGCUGGCCGGUCCGCCUCACCGCGUGCACUGGUCCGGCCGGGCCUUUCCCUCUGGGGAACCGCAUGCCCUUCGCUGGGCGUGUCGGGGAACCAGGACUUUUACUCUGAACAAAUCAGAUCGCUCAAAGAAGGCUCUCGCUCGAAUGCAUUAGCAUGGAAUAAUGGAAUAGGACGUGUGGUUCUAUUUUGUUGGUUUCUAGGACCGCCGUAAUGAUUAAUAGGGACAGUCGGGGGCAUCAGUAUUCAAUUGUCAGAGGUGAAAUUCUUGGAUCUAUUGAAGACUAACUACUGCGAAAGCAUUUGCCAAGGAUGUUUUCAUUAAUCAGGAACGAAAGUUAGGGGAUCGAAGACGAUCAGAUACCGUCGUAGUCUUAACCAUAAACUAUGCCGAUUAGGGAUCGGACGAUGUUAUUUUUUGACUCGUUCGGCACCUUACGAUAAAUCAAAAUGUUUGGGCUC
rnacentral:rRNA from 1 species